UCGGAGCAGCACUUCUGCCCUGGCUCCUGAGCUCUGCAGAGGUGGCUGAAAGGGCACUGCCCCCCACACUGAGGAGCUGGAGGGGAGGGGGUGGAUGUGCACAGUCCUGGGCUUGUCUGUGGGAUCAGUGCUCAAGAAAAUGUGCACCCUGUUGAGCUGUGUUGCUGUUCUCAGGCAUGGUGGUACACAGAGAAGCCAGGCUUCAGCACCUUCUUUGAGUCAAGAAAAUCCACAAAAUAAACACACAGGAGGAGCAGCUUGGUGGAAAACGGUGCAGUUCAUGUACUCAUGUGCUUAAGUCACCUCACCCCAGGUAGGUGAAGUAGAGAAAAGCCUCAGAACUGGGUGUGAUCAGUUUUAAAAGGGUGAGUGAGUCCAUGCAGGACUUGUGGGACUGUAGGAGAACCUCUGUGCUGGGAUCUCUGCCUGCAGUGAUCCAAGGUUUUAUUCCCAGAGGGGAUCAUGGGCUCUCCUCUGUUUUUCUGUUCUGUCAGAUCUGCUCACCCAGGCGUGGAGUGCAGACCCUCCUUCCAUCCCUCCUGUGCUUGUGUUUAAGUGAUGGAUUUUAUUGUUCCAAUAACAUUUAUCUAAAAGUGCUUUGGGGGGAGGGAGGAAGGAGAUAAGGAGGGAGGAGGCUGAGGAAAGAAUGUGCUUUUGGACUCUGCUAAGUCUCCAUCUUAUUGCUGGGACCUGCUGUGGGGUUUUGGAACUCAGGAUCCCAGGGGAAAUGGCUGGAAGAGCUGUGGCCAGUAUGAAACACUGUGGGAGGAAACCCAGGGAUAGCCUGUGCAGAGCAUCCCUCUUCCCUUUUGGUACUGAUCUCAUGUCCUCUGCCAGCUUAUCUCUUGGCAAGGAGGGACCUGACUCAGUUUCCAGGAAGGAGACCUGGGUGGAGGUGUGGGAAUGCUGAGGGUGCAGAGCUCAGCUUGGCACAGGGAGAGAUUUUCUGCUCAGAAGUCUCAGAGUGUUUCUGGGUUUGGCCUCGCCUGCACAGCCAUGAGGUGGGCACAAGGAGUAGGGAUGUCAGGGAAAGGGGGAAAGACCCUGGUUCUUCCACUGCUGGGACAUUCUCUGGGGGGUCUCCAGGAAUGGGAUGGCAGGAGGAGAGGCCCUCUGGGUCUGUGCUCCAGGUGCAGCUUCACCCCCAGGUGAAUUUGGGAGCAGUUUGUGCAUCCCUGGUGCUGAUGUGGAGAGGAGGGAGUGCAGGAGAGAGCCCAGAUUGCUGCAGCUCCCAGAGGUGAAGGAUGCCUGUGGCCACAGGAUGCAGCUGACAAUUCCCAAGGUGCUAAUUUUGGGCUUGGUGCACCCCAGCCCCAGAGCUGGCCUCUCCCAGGGGUGGCAGAUGGGGCAGAGCUGGAGGAUUCCUGCACUGCACAGGGGAGUGAGUGAGGUUCUGCCCGUGGGGAGAGGUGGAAAGUCUUGGGGAGGGUCAGGAGAGGAGGAGUGAUGAUCUCAGAGCAUGGAUGAGCUGUAGCCCUCUGAUCCAGCCCGUUGUGUGCCAUUUGCUUGCCACCAGAGUGGACUCCAGGGCUCCAUUCCCAUUUCACUGUGCUUGAAUUUGGUUUUUGGUGUGGUGGUGAAGGCUUGCAUGGCGAGAGAGAGCCAUGGCAAGUGGAGAAGAGGAGGAAAAGGAUGAGCUUUCUCUUUCCUAGGAAGCACAAAUGGAUGGAGCAGCAUUUCUGAACAAACAACUCUCUCCUCCCUGUCUCCUGGAAGCUGCGUUAUCAGAGCACCAUUACUGUCCUCUCUUUUCCUUCCCCCCACCAAUGAUCAGGAAUUAAAAAUACAACUAAUAAAACCCUUUUACUUUCUCCAGCAGGAGGAAAGAGAAAAAAAAAAAAGCAAAGCAGCCUUGAAAAUGCUAAAGGACAUAAAGGGCAUUCAUGAAAGGGUUGGAUGGUGGUUAUUGCAGCAGGGGGAAAAACAUUAUUUCACUGUGCAGAUAAAAGGAAGUGGAAAAGCAGCAUAUUUAUAGCUAGGGAGCCUGGAUUCCUUGUUAAGCUGCUAUUAUCAAAUUAAUGUCAAAAUGCAUCAAACAGGCAUGAGUGUUCUGGGCCCCUUAUGCAAAGUGCUUGCAAAUUGGUUACAAAUACAUUUGUUUACAGGGGACGAGGCAGGAGCGAGCUAAUUAGUCAUUGUAGCAGGGCUGUUUUGUGUCUUUUUUUUUUCUUCUUUUUUUAACAUUUUUUUGGCAAUUACACAAACAAGCUGUUUUGAAGUAUAAAUACACGCUGCAUUACAGCCCCUUUAAAGGGGAAUCAGUUGGGAAUUGAGGGAUGCAGAGGGCUUGGUGUGAGUGGUGAGGAGCACCGUGGUGGAGCAGGGCUCUCUCCUGCCUGGAUGCAGCAGGAGUGCCACACUGGGCUCUGGGAUGUGACAUGGAAAGGGAACAACUCCCAUCCCUGGCCAUCAGGAGGAUGGGAUGUGGCUGGAAAGGGAACAACUGGUUUUUGGGUCCUGUGAGGGGGCUGAACCCCUCGUGUGGGGCACGGUGCUGUUUUCAUGCAGGACCUGUUAAGGUUUCAGCUGCCCACCUCUGCCAUGGCAAUUCCCUUUGGGCCUGGGAUGUUUUGGGGUGGUUUUGGUGGCAGCAGCAGCUGCCAGCUCAGGGUGUGAAGCUCCCUGUGCCCAGCUGGUGGGCACUGAGAUGGUUUUGGAUGUAGAGAGCAUCCCGUGGAUGAGCGAAGAAAGGAAUCUGGUGUGAGCUCUCCCAGGUGAACCUGUCCUCGAGGCUUCUUUAUCAAAACCUCAGGCUGCACCUCCCAAACCCAUUAAUGAGGAAGGGAAACAGGAGAGCUUAUCUGAUCCUCAGUGUGGGAAUGGUUGGGGAAUUUGGUUGGGGGGCAGAUGGAAACUUCCUGCUGCCCUGCAUCUUAACACAUCCCAUUCUGGGAGUAAAUCACACCUCUGCCACUCAGGGAAGCUGCUAAUUGAAUCUGCUCUGGUGGGACAGGAUAAAGCCAAGAGGCAUCUACCACCAUUAUUUUUCAUUUACUCAGAAAGAGAAAAGAGAGAGGAAGGAACAAGUUGUGCCCCUCUCAUGCUGGAGGCCCUGACAUUUCUUGGCAGAAGGUGCAAAAACCCCGUGGCUGCUUCUCCUUUCGGGUUUGUUUGUGGUAAAUCUGCCCUUCAGGCUGAAAUCACCUUCUGAGCAGGUCCUGCACUCCCAGAGGUGCUGGGAACUUUGAGUUUAAUGCCAUCAUAAAGCCCUGCUGUGGGUGGGAAGAGGAGGAGAACAUCUCAGAGGACCAAAGCAGUGGGGAGGGCAGGGCUUUCCCCAGCCUCCUGCAGGAGCUCUGAUGUUUGCACCAGCUUUUAUUCAUUUAAAACUCAGGGUAACAUUUCUCUGCACCUUGGGCCUGCUUUUCAGCUCUACCUUCAAACUCCAAACCUCUCAUUUUUUGCCUUGUUGGCUUUGGUGGGCUCAUGUGCCAUGGGGAGGGUGACCCACUCCACUGGGAUCAGGGGCUCUGAUUUUGAGGAAUGUUCCCAUUUCCAGCAUAAUCCUACCCCUGCCCUGCAAGGUGUGCAGGGGCACAGCUCAGCUCGAGCAGCUCGUUGUACUCAGGCUCUGCCUGUGCCCAGGUGUUCCAGUCAGGACCUGGCUCUCCUCACUCAUGGCAGGGCUCUGGUGUCACUGUCACCUCCUGUGGUUGUUGGAUGUGCCACGGGAUCCUGCCCUGGUUUGAGAUGCUGCUGUUUCACACCUGCUCUUCUUAUCCAGGGGUGUUCCAGCCUCUCCUUGCUCUGACAGCUGGGAGCAGACCUGGAAUUUCCACUCUCUGCCCUCAGUUCUGCCUCCUGUGCCCCCAGAGAACAGGAUGUUCCCACAGGAUUGAGGUGCCCAAGGUUUCAGGGGGAAUCAUUACAGCCGUCCUGCCCUCGUGCUUGUUGAGCUGGAGGGAAAGGAUGAAGAUGUUUCCUGGAGGCUGAGGGACAGGGAUUGUGUCCUGGGCUGGGGGUGAUGAUGCCCUGGGUGUGGGUGCAGGGCUGGGCAGGAGCUGGUGCCCGAUAAGGCUGCGGGCGCUGCCGCGGUCCGGGGUGACCCAGCACCCUCUUCCUCUCCACGUGGGCAGCACGAGGCCUCAGCUGGCUGGGGAGGGAUGUGGCCUCUCCUGAUAAGAGGCUCUGGUUCCUGCUGCUGCAGAUUUACAGCCUGGGAGCGGGCAGUGGGCGCUGUGCUUUCUCUGGGGUGAUUUACUGCUGCUUCCCUCUGGCUGGAGCCACGGCUGCCUGACUCAGCCAGGGGGAGGCAAAGGCUCUGGGACACAGGUGGGAGCAGGUCUCUGUCACCUGUGGCCUGGAGAAUGUCCCCACGGCAGCAUGGGGAGGGUUGGGACAGUCAGGCUCUGUCCCGUGGCAGCAGGGAUGCUCGCAGCCUUUCCAUCCCCAUCCCACAUCCUGGAGCCCACCCAGCUCACAGGGGACCCACGUGGGAGACCCAGGAUCACCACCAGCCCCACAAAGCAAUGCCUGCUCUUGUUUUCCAUGUUUGAUACAGACACUGCCAGGAGGGAUGAGCUGCAGUGGGCAAGGAGGGGAGGAUGAGGAAGGAAAGGUCGAUGCCAUCACUGCACUCCCUUCCACGUCCCAGCUCCUGCCUGGGUGAGCUUCCCAGCUCCUCUGGUUUGUUUUAGAGGCAGCAUGGGGGCCCCAGUUCCCUGCACACCCUCCACGCUCUGGGUUUUAUUGGCAUGUGGAAGUAGUUUUGUCUGGUUUCAGAUCUGGCUGAUCACUGACUCUCCCUCUGCCUCCCCCCGAAAGCGCUGACAACCGCGGCGACCCAACCGCACUCCUCUUCCUCCCUCUUUCUUCUUUCUCCCCACAUUGUUCUCCGAAAUCCCAGCUGCUGCUUCUCCCUCCUCCCUUUCCUAUGCUCUCACAUCAGCUGGGGUGGAUCUAUCUGUGUUUUGUAUAAAAGCUCUUUUUUGUUGUCUGUACUUCUCCCCCCACCCUCUCCUUGGGGCCGUGCAGGGCAGGCUGUCCUUGUCACCCCAGGCUGGCAGUGGCACAGGGGAAGCCUUGGCAGGGUGAGGGCAUCAGCAUCCCCAGAGUCCUCAUUUUGCUUCUCUGACAGAGAAACUUGGCAGAUCCUGGGGCCAGAGCCACCACAUUCCUCCCUUAUUUCUCACUGGUGGAGCACUGACGUGGGGGGUUCCUGGUGGGCCAGGAGGGAUGGGAUGGGGCAGGGCAGGUCUCCUCAGGACCCUGGGCUGCUCCCUGAUCCACCACAGGCUCAGGGUAUUGAUUUUAUGGUGUGUUUAUGUGCCAGUGCCUGGCUGCAGCUCCCACCAGCCCAGCCCAGCUUUGUUCAGGCAGCCAGGCAGAUCCCAGGGACCCUCUGGCACCAGCAGGAGCCUCCAUCCCCCUUGUGGGGACCCUGGGAAGGGGCUGGGCUGUCCCUGGCUCCCUGGUGGGGUGGGUGCUGAGGUUCCUUCUGUGCUUCCUUGUCCCCCAACCCUGGGAAAGGGGCUGCAGUGGGCAGAGACCAAGCAAGGGCUGGAGAGCCACUGGUACCUGAAGGGAGGCUUGGUGUGAGCUGGUCAGGGAGUCCCCAGUGUCCCCAUCACCAUUCCUGGCCUCCCUUCCCAGUGCUCAAUGCCUUUUUCCACCUCCAGUCUUCCCACCCAGCACAAUGAAUGCCCCUGGGCAGCCUCAGAAACUUUCCUGCCCCUCUGAGCCCUGGGGUUGUUCCCUGUUCCCAAACCUCUGCCGUGUCCCCCCUCCUGCCAGGGACAGGCUGUCCCCCUGCCAGUCUGCAGCGUGCAAUAAAUCACUCCUGCACCAAAUCUGGGUGAAAUCCCGUGGAUUAACUCACCAAGACUGCCCAGGCUGUCCCAGCUGAGAUGGAAAUGGCUGCAUGCUGAGGAUCAUCCUGGGAUGCUCCUGAGGAACAUCCUGGGAGUCAGCAGGGGCCAGGGGAGGGUGAGGAGCACCUGGAGGAAGGCAGCAGGUGACACCCACGAGCGAGUCCCUCCCAGCCAGUGGGAAAAGCCUGUGGGCUUCAUCCUGCUUUGGGUGGGCUCUGGCAGCCUGGAGAGCAGCUGGGGGGUCUGGAUCCUCCUCUUCCCCGUGGGACUGCGCCUCGAGUCAGCAUCUCCCCAGGUAACCACUUUCCUCCUUUCUCUGUUUAAAGAUAAUUUGAAAUGCAUGGCUGGCAAUUGAAGGGAAAACAGAGGAAUGGUUGGUGCUGCUGAGGAUCUCAGCCCAGCCAGGGGAGACGUGUUCCUUUUGUGGAAUCAAACAUCCGUCAGGGAACAGUCAUGCAAAUUUAUUUCGCUUUUCUUCUUUGUUACCUGUUCCAUUGAUCCGCAGCCUGCAGCAGUUGGCUCCUGGAGAGACAGGUUUGUUAAUCCAGGAGCCUGGAAAGCCUCAGUCGGUGAGGAGGGGACUUUGCAGAGCUCCUGGCUCUGGGGACACUCUGUGCCGUGUGUGGGGACCGUGGCACACAUCCCUCCAAAGGAGGGGAAAGGGCUUUGCUGUGGCCCUGGGAAGGCAGGAGAGGGCUGCCAGCUCUGCCAAAGCUGCUUCCCACCACAGGAAGGGACAAGGACACUUCCUCACCCUGCUGGGACUGUCACCACCAGCCCUGAGGAGUAAAUGUGAGUUAAACCCCUAAAAUCACAAGGUGAGUUUUAAAAUACCCAGCUGUGAGAUUGUAUUUGAUUUUAUCACUCUUGUUGGACUCUUCAGUCCAUCUGGCUGUUUGCAGGGAGGUGCAGGUCCGUGGUGUGCUCCUGUUGAAGGGAGGUGACUCCAGCCUGGCUGCUGGAAUCCAGCUGUGCCCGUGGGAGGGUGCCAGGCUGCCCUGAGUGCUCUGAGCCUCCAAGCCCUGUCCAAGCUGCCCUUGAGUCUUCUCCUCCAGCAGCCUCAUCUCCUGGGAGUGAAGAGCAGAUGGAGCUGCCUGGGGAAGGGCUGGAGGCUGCUGCUCUCACUGCUGCAGGGGAUCUGCUGCUCCAGGCAAGGGCAGAGCCAAACCCUCCUUGCAGCAGGAGCAGGUCCAGUGUCUGUGAAGCCUCUCUGAGACAUUCCCUGUAUCCCUGCAACGCUGCUGCUCUUAUUUCCUGCUGGAAGCACUGCUUUUUCCUUCAAGAAAAUUACUUUUCUUGCUUGAAUUGAGUGGUUUUUGUGCCUUCACUGCAGGUAGUGGGGGCCAAGCCCUUGGCUGAUGACUCCAGAUGGGUUAAGGCACCUGUGGGUGUCCCCACCACGUGGGUUUGUGGCUGUGGAGGAGCUGGGACAAGCAGGGAGAUGCCUCAUUAAAGCAAUUUGGGAGAUGCUCAUCCACACAGAAAUCUGAAUUCAUCCUGCUCGCGCUGUCUCUCCUCCAUCUCCUCUUCCUUGAGCAGAGGAAUUGGCUGCAAGGGAGCAGAAAGCACAGGGAUGUCCAGGGGCUCGUGGCUGGGAAGGGACCAGGAUUUCUCCUGUUGUUUCAGGUGAGGAGGUCCCCAGGUCCCCUGGGGAGGCGAAGUGCUGGAAGGGGAUGGAGCCACCACCACCUCCUGCUGGGGCUGCUCUGGGGGUGCCUUUCCUGAGCUUUCUCCACCCAGGGCAGGGAAUUUGGGACGCUUUGCUUUGCCUGUUCCUGCUGGAGCUCAGCAAAGCUCAUCCCCAGGGACCCAGUGCCAAAGGGAAGCAGUGCCCUGCUGGGGCUGGCUUUGUGGCGUGGUGGAGAAAAAGGCUUUGGGGUGAUGCUUUCCCCUCCAUCCCUCCUCCUCCUCCUCUCACAUCCCAGGAGCUGGUGAGGCUUGCUGGUGGCAGGGUUGGUGUAUCCAUGGAAGAGGAGGAAACCCUUUGGAAAAUCCUGCUCAGAGAGCUUUGGGAGGCCCGGGGUGCUGCUGGGGGAGCUGUCCCAGCUCUGGGGCUCCCCCUCCGUGUCCCUGGCCCUGGCAGGGCUGGAGCAGGCACGGGGAGCUGUUGUUAUUCCUCUCAUGCAGCGGGAAGGAUUUCUGCGAGUGCCAUAAACCAUCACGUGGGCAGAGCCUGGGUUUUUCAGGGUUUUGGUCUCCUCAGGAGCAGCAAGACCCCCCCAGGACCCCUCCCACAGGGCUGGGGGUGCUGCCCCUCCCCUGGCCGAGGCAAAGGAGGCUUUCCCUGGAGGUGGUUGGAGGUUCUGAGUGGGAGGAUGAGGAUGGAUUGGGGCUGGAGAGCCCCAAUGGCCCUGCCAGCUCCUGGGGACCUG